rnacentral:rRNA from 1 species
GAUGAACGCUGGCGGCGUGCCUAAUACAUGCAAGUCGAGCGAACAGACGAGGAGCUUGCUCCUUUGACGUUAGCGGCGGACGGGUGAGUAACACGUGGAUAACCUACCUAUAAGACGGGGAUAACUUCGGGAAACCGGAGCUAAUACCGGAGAAUAUAUUGAACCGCAUGGUUGAAUAGUAAAAGACGGUUGUGCUGUCACGUAUAGAUGGAUCCGCGCCGCAUUGGCGAGUUGGUAAGGUAACGGCUUACCAAGGCAAGGAUGCGUUGCCGACCUGAGAGGGUGGUCGGCCACCCUGGAGCUGAGCCACGGUCCAGACUCCUGCGGGACGCAGCAGUAGCGAAUCUUCCGCAGUGGGCGAGAGCCUGGCGGAGCAACGCCACGUGAGUGAUGAAGGUCUUCGGAUCGUAAAGCUCUGUUAUUGGUGGAAAACAAAUGUGUAAGUUACUAUACACGUCUUGACGGUACCUGGUCAGAAAGCACCGGCUAACUACGUG